GCCUACACAUGCAGUCGAGCGGAUGACGGGAGCUUGCUCCUUGAUUCAGCGGCGGACGGGUGAGUAAUGCCUAGGAAUCUGCCUGGUAGUGGGGGACAACGUUUCGAAAGGAACGCUAAUACCGCAUACGUACCUACGGGAGAAAGCAGGGGACCUUCGGGCCUUGCGCUAUCAGAUGAGCCUAGGUCGGAUUAGCUAGUUGGUGAGGUAAUGGCUCACCAAGGCGACGAUCCGUAACUGGUCUAGAGAGGAUAGAUNCAGUCACACUGGAACUGAGACACGGUACCAGACUCCUACGGGAGGCAGCAGUGGGGAAUAUUGGACAAUGGGCGAAAGCCUGAUCCAGUCCAUGCCGCAGUGUGUAGAAGAAGGUCUNUCGGAUUGUAAAGUCACUUUAA
rnacentral:rRNA from 1 species